rnacentral:rRNA from 1 species
AUUGAACGCUGGCGGCAGGCCUAACACAUGCAAGUCGAGCGGAUGAAGGGAGCUUGCUCCUGGAUUCAGCGGCGGACGGGUGAGUAAUGCCUAGGAAUCUGCCUGGUAGUGGGGGAUAACGUCCGGAAACGGGCGCUAAUACCGCAUACGUCCUGAGGGAGAAAGUGGGGGAGCUUCGGACCUCACGCUAUCAGAUGAGCCUAGGUCGGAUUAGCUAGUUGGUGGGGUAAAGGCCUACCAAGGCGACGAUCCGUAACUGGUCUGAGAGGAUGAUCAGUCACACUGGAACUGAGACGCGGUCCAGACUACUACGGGAGGGAGCAGUGGGGAAUAGUGGACAGUGGGCGGAAGCCUGAUCCAGCCAUGCCGCGUGUGUGAAGAAGGUCUUCGGAUUGUAAAGCACUUUAAGUUGGGAGGAAGGGCAGUAAGUUAAUACCUUGCUGUUUUGACGUUACCAACAGAAUAAGCACCGGCUAACUUCGUG